rfam:Eutrema salsugineum unplaced genomic scaffold scaffold_12, whole genome shotgun sequence.
AAGCCGUGGUGUGGGCAUUGGUUAGUGUAGCUUCUGAACUGUUCCCAAGCUUCACUAAAGCUCUCGUUAUUGUGCUGCGUGAAACUUGAGAUCUGAUUCCUGAGCUU